GCCUGGGUGGCUCAGUUGGUUAAGCAUCUGACUUCAGCUCAGGUCAUGAUCUCACAGUCCGUGAGAUCAAGCCCCAUGUCAGGCU
rnacentral:tRNA from 1 species